AUUGAACGCUGGCGGCAGGCUUAACACAUGCAAGUCGAACGAGUGGCGGACGGGUGAGUAAUGCUUGGGAAUCUGGCUUAUGGAGGGGGAUAACGACGGGAAACUGUCGCUAAUACCGCGUCCCAUAGGAAGAGCCCAAGUGGGAUUAGGUAGGUGGUGGGGGAAUGGCCUACACAGACGGCGAUCUCUAGCUGGUCUGAGAGGAUGACCAGCCGCACCGGGACUGAGAACCGGCCCGGACUCCUCCGGGAGGUAGCAGAGGGGAAUAUUGCGCAAUGGGUGCAACCGGACGCAGCCAUGCCGCGUGAAUUAAGAAGGCCUUCGGGUUGUAAAGUUCUUUCGGUGACGAGGCGUUAAUCACAGAAGAAGCACCGGCUAACUCCGUGCCAGCCGCCGCGGUAAUUC
rnacentral:rRNA from 1 species